rnacentral:rRNA from 1 species
UGGGGAAUUUUGGACAAUGGGCGAAAGCCUGAUCCAGCAAUGCCGCGUGUGUGAAGAAAGCCUUCGGGUUGUAAAGCACUUUUGUCCGGAAAGAAAUCCUUGGCUCUAAUACAGUCGGGGGAUGACGGUACCGGAAGAAUAAGCACCGGCUAACUACGUGCCAGCAGCCGCGGUAAUACGUAGGGUGCAAGCGUUAAUCGGAAUUACUGGGCGUAAAGCGUGCGCAGGCGGUUUGCUAAGGCCGAUGUGAAAUCCCCGGGCUCAACCUGGGAACUGCAUUGGUGACUGGCAGGCUAGAGUAUGGCAGAGGGGGGUAGAAUUCCACGUGUAGCAGUGAAAUGCGUAGAGAUGUGGAGGAAUACCGAUGGCGAAGGCAGCCCCCUGGGCCAAUACUGACGCUCAUGCACGAAAGCGUGGGGGAGCAAACAGGAUUAGAUACCCUGGUAGUCCACGCCCUAAAACGAUGUCAACUAGUUGUUGGGGGAUUCAUUUUCCUUAGUAACGUAGCUAACGCGUGAAGUUGACCGCCUGGGGAGUACGGUCGCAAGAUUAAAACUCAAAGGAAUUGACGGGGUCAUAGCUGUUUCCU